AACGAACGCUGGUGGCGUGGAUAAGACAUGCAAGUCGAACGGGACUAAAUCUGUAGCAAUACAGGUUUAGUUUAGUGGCGAACGGGUGCGUAACACGUGGGCAAUCUGCCGAGAAGUGGGGAAUAGCUCGCCGAAAGGCGAAUUAAUACCGCAUAUGAUCAGUGAAGACAUCUUCACGACAUCAAAGCCGGGGCAACCUGGCGCUUCUUGAUGAGCCCGCGGCCUAUCAGCUAGUUGGUGAGGUAACGGCUCACCAAGGCUAUGACGGGUAGGCUGGUCUGAGAGGAUGAUCAGCCACACU
rnacentral:rRNA from 1 species